rnacentral:lncRNA from 1 species
CAGGGCGCCCUAGGGCAGCGGCGUGCAGUGUUCGGGUAAUAGGACGCAGACGGUGGGGUCGCCGGGGGCUUCGGGGUGGCCUCGGCCCCAGGCCAUCCAGCCCUGUGGACCGAAUGGAGUCCCACACGCUGUUGAGGUAGUUGUGGGUUCCCCUGGCCUCGGGCUCGGCGCAGGGUCAGCGCUCCUGCAGGCGGCGCUUGCGGUACGGGCUGGUGAAAGUGGAGACGGACGGCAGGAUGGAUUCACUUGGCGACAUGGCGGGGAGCUGGGAAGACGGACACCGACCUAAGUCAAUGUUAGUCUACCACUGUACGUCUGGUAACCUCAAUCCCUGCAACCGGAGCAAAAUGUGAUUCCAGGUCUUGGCAACCUCUGAAAUUCCAACUCCAUUUGCGAGAGCUUUGAGGAGGCCAUAUGCUGAUUUCACCACAAGCAACUUCACAACCCAGUACUGGAAUGCCAUCAGCCAGCAGGCCCCUGCCAUUAUCUGUGACUUCUAUCUGUGGCUCAUUGGAAGGAAACCCAGCUACCGAAGGAAGAUACCCUCAUCAACCCAAUUUUACAAAUGGAGAAAUAGAAGCUCAGGGAAGAAUCUGAAGUAGUCUCAAAGGAAGUGACAGGAAGGAUGUGGAGAAAGCUGAGUGUCAAAGUCAGUAUUCAAGACCGGAUUUACUGCUACUUAGAGAUGAAUGAAGAAAUCAGAGGGAACGCAGUGUGCUGAUGCUAAAGCGGCUGUCACCACCCAGCUGUGUGACAUAGGACAUCUUCUUUCUCUGUCUCACUUGACUAAUAUGUUGUGUCAGGGGAGACAUGAUUGUAAUUGCCUAAAGCAAUUCUUGUGAUCAAGAAUCAGAAGCAUGAACAGUAUUGCCCUCUGUGUUAGCCCCUUUAUAAGGGAGGAAGUCAUCUUCAGCAUGCUGAAUUGUCAUCUUUCUUAGCAGUGCAAAUGACUAAAACUUAGCCAAUGUAGAGUUUGUCCAAAUUUGGAGCUCAUAACUCAGUUCUUGAGCAAAGUGAAAAGAAAACAUUGUGAUUAUGGGGAAAAUAUUUGUACGGGACUUAUCAAAUAAAGAUAGGAAAAGAAGAAAACUCAAAUAUUAUAGGCAGAAAUGCUAAAGGUUUUAAAAUAUGUCAGGAUUGGAAGAAGGCAUGGAUAAAGAACAAAGUUCAGUUAGGAAAGAGAAACACAGAAGGAAGAGACACAAUAAAAGUCAUUAUGUAUUCUGUGAGAAGUCAGACAGUAAGAUUUGUGGGAAAUGGGUUGGUUUGUUGUAUGGUAUGUAUUUUAGCAAUAAUCUUUAUGGCAGAGAAAGCUAAAAUCCUUUAGCUUGCGUGAAUGAUCACUUGCUGAAUUCCUCAAGGUAGGCAUGAUGAAGGAGGGUUUAGAGGAGACACAGACACAAUGAACUGACCUAGAUAGAAAGCCUUAGUAUACUCAGCUAGGAAUAGUGAUUCUGAGGGCACACUGUGACAUGAUUAUGUCAUUACAUGUAUGGUAGUGAUGGGGAUGAUAGAAGGAAGAACUUAUGGCAUAUUUUCACCCCCACAAAAAUCAGUUAAAUAUUGGGACACUAACCAUCCAGGUCAAGAAAAGUCACAUGCCAUAGCCAUGGUAUUGCACAUCAUUCAUCUUGCAUUCUUUGAGAAUAAGAAGAUCAGUAAAUAGUUCAGAAGUGGGAAGCUUUGUCCAGGCCUGUGUGUGAACCCAAUGUUUUGUUUAGAAAUAGAACAAGUAAGUUCAUUGCUAUAGCAUAACACAAAAUUUGCAUAAGUGGUGGUCAGCAAAUCCUUGAAUGCUGCUUAAUGUGAGAGGUUGGUAAAAUCCUUUGUGCAACACUCUAACUCCCUGAAUGUUUUGCUGUGCUGGGACCUGUGCAUGCCAGACAAGGCCAAGCUGGCUGAAAGAGCAACCAGCCACCUCUGCAAUCUGCCACCUCCUGCUGGCAGGAUUUGUUUUUGCAUCCUGUGAAGAGCCAAGGAGGCACCAGGGCAUAAGUCUACUCACUUAUAUCUGUUUGUCUGGAACAUAACCCAUGUUUGUUUUUACAACAAAUAAAAUUGAUCUUGAAU